rnacentral:rRNA from 1 species
UACGUAGGGUGCGAGCGUUGUCCGGAAUUAUUGGGCGUAAAGAGCUUGUAGGCGGUCUGUCGCGUCUGCUGUGAAAAUCCGGGGCUCAACCCCGGACUUGCAGUGGGUACGGGCAGACUAGAGUGUGGUAGGGGAGACUGGAAUUCCUGGUGUAGCGGUGAAAUGCGCAGAUAUCAGGAGGAACACCGAUGGCGAAGGCAGGUCUCUGGGGCCACUACUGACG